GAAAUCGCUGUGAAGAUGCAGUGUACCCGCGGCUAGACGGAAAGACCCCGUGAACCUUUACUACAGCUUGGCACUGAACAUUGACCCUACAUGUGUAGGAUAGGUGGGAGGCUUUGAAGCACGUACGCCAGUAUGUGUGGAGCCGUCCUUGAAAUACCACCCUUGUAGUGUUGAUGUUCUAACGUCGACCCCUUAUCGGGGUUGCGGACAGUGCCUGGUGGGUAGUUUGACUGGGGCGGUCUCCUCCCAAAGAGUAACGGAGGAGCACGAAGGUGGGCUAAUCACGGUUGGACAUCGUGAGGUUAGUGCAAUGGCAUAAGCCCGCUUGACUGCGAGAAUGACAAUUCGAGCAGGUGCGAAAGCAGGUCAUAGUGAUCCGGUGGUUCUGAAUGGAAGGGCCAUCGCUCAACGGAUAAAAGGUACUCCGGGGAUAACAGGCUGAUACCGCCCAAGAGUUCAUAUCGACGGCGGUGUUUGGCACCUCGAUGUCGGCUCAUCACAUCCUGGGGCUGAAGUCGGUCCCAAGGGUAUGGCUGUUCGCCAUUUAAAGUGGUACGCGAGCUGGGUUUAGAACGUCGUGAGACAGUUCGGUCCCUAUCUGCCGUGGGCGUUGGAAGAUUGAAGGGGGCUGCUCCUAGUACGAGAGGACCGGAGUGGACGAACCUCUGGUGUUCGGGUUGUGUCGCCAGACGCAUUGCCCGGUAGCUAAGUUCGGAAUCGAUAACCGCUGAAAGCAUCUAAGCGGGAAGCGAGCCCUGAGAUGAGUCUUCCCUGAUACUUUAAGUAUCCUAAAGGGUUGUCGGAGACUACGACGUUGAUAGGUCAGGUGUGUAAGUGCUGUGAGGCAUUGAGCUAACUGAUACUAAUUGCCCGUGAGGCUUAACCAUACAACAC
rnacentral:rRNA from 1 species